rnacentral:rRNA from 1 species
AAAGUGAAUAGUGAAAUCUGGAGGCUCAACCUCACAGGCUAUUAUUCAAACUCAUAAACUCGAGAAUGGUAGAGGUAACUGGAAUUUCUAGUGUAGGAGUGAAAUCCGUAGACAUUAGAAGGAACACCAAUGGCGUAGGCAGGUUACUGGACCAUUUCUGACGCUAAGGCACGAAAGCGUGGGGAGCGAACCGGAUUAGAUACCCGGGUAGUCCACGCUGUAAACGGUGGAUACUA